rnacentral:rRNA from 1 species
AUUGAACGCUGGCGGCAGGCCUAACACAUGCAAGUCGAGCGGAUGAAGGGAGCUUGCUCCUGGAUUCAGCGGCGGACGGGUGAGUAAUGCCUAGGAAUCUGCCUGGUAGUGGGGGAUAACGUCCGGAAACGGGCGCUAAUACCGCAUACGUCCUGAGGGAGAAAGUGGGGGAUCUUCGGACCUCACGCUAUCAGAUGAGCCUAGGUCGGAUUAGCUAGUUGGUGGGGUAAAGGCCUACCAAGGCGACGAUCCGUAACUGGUCUGAGAGGAUGAUCAGUCACACUGGAACUGAGACACGGUCCAGACUCCUACGGGAGGCAGCAGUGGGGAAUAUUGGACAAUGGGCGAAAGCCUGAUCCAGCCAUGCCGCGUGUGUGAAGAAGGUCUUCGGAUUGUAAAGCACUUUAAGUGGGGAGGAAGGGCAGUAAGUUAAUACCUUGCUGUUAUGACGUUACCAACAGAAUAAGCACCGGCUAACUUCGUG